UGUAGGCAGACGAGCAUACGGCCCACCU
rnacentral:sRNA from 1 species